AGAGAAAUAAUGAUUCAACAAACUCAAGUACAUCUCAUCAUGAUUUUGUUACAGAGUGGGUGUAUCAAAAUCAAAAAGCAAAUUGAAACAUGUACACAUAAGCCAUCAAUCAAAAAGUUACAAUCUAAUGCUCUGCGAUGACACACUAGAUUAAAGGUUCAACAUUUAAUCACACACAAAUGCGAAUGAUCAACUGUUAGCUAGCAACAGACUUAGGGUUAGAUCGAGAAACAACAAAUAACCUGUUUUAGAAGGACGAGUUCAUGUGGCGGUGUCCGACGCUGACGUGUUUGGUAUGCUUGUCCAAUGACGAUGUGGUCGACGCCAUGCCCGGAGCUCCUCAUGCGUUCUAACCAUUUCCUUGCUAGUUCACUAUCCUCUAUGCUACGCAAGUGCUCACCCGUGCUAGCCAUCUGCGACGGCCGCCCGAGGGCG
rnacentral:lncRNA from 7 species